rnacentral:lncRNA from 1 species
GUUAUAGCAUAACUCUUCAAAAUCAGCUGUCUGGGGACAAGUGUAUAUGGUACAAGGCCAGAAAUGUUGCUUGGAACGUAACAAAACCCAGGCAGACAGACACGAGAAGCCUUUACACAGGCUGGAUCUCUCUGAAGUUGAUAGCGUUUGGGCAUCUUUCCCAAGUCUGCCUGACAACAUCAAUGGCGAGCUGUUGAGCUGCAGUGACCCCCUAAGCAAGCUGUCCUCUGCUGUUUUGGCUGCACCUACUAUUACUCAAGCAGUGGGAGCCAAACAAAUGCGACACUUGGAUCUUUCUUACUUGUUCUGCAAAGCAACCCCGCCAAGCCCGGAGUACGGACACGCUGCAUAAGGAAUCGACAAUUCCCCACGAUUACACAGCGGGACACGAGCACUGGCAGCAGAGCUGAGAAGUUAACUCUGGGGUAUACAGGGCUGACAAAUGCAGAGACAUAUUGAUCCUCAGCAGUCUGUCUCAUCAGUAAAGUAGUAAUGGGCUGCAUAUUAACACAACCGCCUGAAAGGUGACAAAAGACAGGGAAGGACGCGGGAGCUCAGUGCCCGGGGGAUGAACGUGCUGUGCCAGCACCACACCUAAGGUGGAAGGUCAGCCAGCCACCACUGCUUGGCUCAGAGCCUCACCAAGGCUUAGUUAAGGAGAAGAAUUAAAACUCCCCACUUUUGCUGAAGUGUUUGUGUCAGGGUGAGCAAGACUAGAAAGAGCAAAUGAAGGAAAAGGAAAAUGAGCUCCACAGGUGUUGGACAAAAGAACUGGGUGAAAAAGACUGCUUACAAAUCUGGUGUUGCUGAAUGAAUGCACAUGUCUUCAGCUGGCAUCAAGGGCAGGAACAGCUCUCUCUGGGUUCCGAGACAUGUAGUAGCAGAUACUUCUCUGCCUUCUAAGUACAAGCUGGAGGUGUCAGUGUAAAACCCAGACCAGUGCCAGGAAGUGCUUCAGUGGCACCGAGGGUUGGUGCUGCAGCUUUUGCUGGUUCAGAGUUAUUGAUGCUGCAAAAUAUCUCUGCACUCAUCCUCCCCUUACAGGGCCUGUGUGGCUCUGGCAUCCCUGCAAGAAUCAGCCUACACAAUCCAGACUCCAGAGAAAAGAGGUUUAGUGGCUUCAGGAGGGUACACAUCUGCCCUUUACCUGCAAAAAGAGGAGUGUAAAUGGAAAAGCAUGAUAUUCUGUGAAAUUUUAGGUUUCUAUCCAAAAUUCUGAGUGGUUUUGAAAUAAGACAUUGUGGAAGACAGUGGGUUUUGAAAGCUUAUUCUUACAAAGUGUGAGCACUAAAGUACUUUUUUUAGCACUACUAUUGGAAACAAUAUUGUUUUAAAAUAGGAAUAGUGGAAAA